rnacentral:rRNA from 1 species
GACGAACGCUGGCGGCGUGCUUAACACAUGCAAGUCGAACGGUGAAGCUCCAGCUUGCUGGAGUGGAUCAGUGGCGAACGGGUGAGUAACACGUGAGCAACCUGCCCCUGACUCUGGAAUAAGCGCUGGAAACGGCGUCUAAUACUGGAUACGAGAAGGGUCCGCAUGGGCACUUUCUGGAAAGUUUUUCGGUUGGGGAUGGGCUCGCGGCCUAUCAGCUUGUUGGUGAGGUAAUGGCACACCAAGGCGACGACGGGUAGCCGGCCUGAGAGGGCGACCGGCCACACUGGGACUGAGACACGGCCCAGACUCCUACGGGAGGCAGCAGUGGGGAAUAUUGCACAAUGGGCGAAAGCCUGAUGCAGCGACGCCGCGUGAGGGAUGACGGCCUUCGGGUUGUAAACCUCUUUCAGCAGGGAAGAAGCGAAAGUGACGGUACCUGCAGAAGAAGCACCGGCUAACUACGUG